rnacentral:lncRNA from 1 species
GCCCACAUUUUUAACACACUCCACUCUCAGCAAAAUUAGCAAUCUCCCAAGCUUUCAGCAAUGGCGGCUUCAUCAACUCUUUCCAGUUCCAUCACCACCUUCAAACUGUCCCCGUGCCAACCACGCGCUUCCUUUAUUAUCGCCUCCGUCAAACUCCCUUCAGUUUCCUCCGAUAACCCUUUCAAUCCUUUAAUUUCUCAUUUUGGCCCAACUCCCAAAAGCCCCACCAUCGCACCCCUCCGUUGUUCCGCCGUCUCCACCACACCGGAAACCACCACCACGACCGCCACAGCAUUCCACGGCCUUUGCUACGUCGUCGGGGACAACAUCGACACUGACCAAAUCAUCCCCGCAGAAUACCUAACCCUAGUCCCGUCAAACCCAGAC